UAGGCCGUUUCUUUUUUUUUUUUAAACUUUUUAAUUUAUCUUUUCCGUAAUGUUAUGAGGUUGUGUAGAUGUAACGGUGGAAAAGCGAAAAAGCCUCUGUAGAAUCUCGAAGGCGAUUCUCGAGGAGGAGAGAAAGGUCGAUCGGAUCAGUGAAGUAGCGUAGCGUAGCUUGUUUGUUAGCACUGUAUGAUCAGUGUUUGCCCAGCUACUGUCGCGCCUUUGCUGUUUCGUUCAUGCUAGAAUCGGUGUCGGCUCGACACCGGCUUAGAUCGUCCCGAGGGUGAUUCUCCCGGACUUAAAUCUGCGGCACUCGCGAUGAUGUCCACCCUGAACACGCAUUGACAAUCGUAAGGGGGAUCAAAUUAAUCUGAUUAAUUCGAGAUUGAAAAUGUCGAAAAGAUUUCGUAUCGUUCGAUAAUAAGUUUCUCGGAGGUUCACGUGAGGUUUGCUAGGAAGUUGCCAAUCAAACCGGUCCAAAGGAAGUGGCGCCACCCAAGAUUGCGGCGGGGUUGGAAAAUUCAAGAAACGAGUUAAGUUUCUUUUUGAGCUGUAAAAGGCUCCACUUCUGAGAUGAUAAAGAUAUGGUUGGGCGGGCGGAGCAUUUACUUUUCAAAGCUUUUGGUUUUGGAUAGAAAGACAUGAUCAUCAUAUCGGAUGACUAAAUUUUCUUGCUUUGGCGUCCGGGAGAAUGAUGACAAAACGAAGGGGGGGCCGUGCGAGUGCGAGUGUAGCGUGAGAGAGAGAGAGAGGGAGGAGUCAAGUUGCCUCCUUCGUCAAAUCUGUUCUUUUGCCAAACUUGCCCGACCUGAUUUGCAUGUUAUUAUUUGCGGGUUAGGCUACGGUCCACGCUGACCCUUUCUUAACGUUCUUGGUAGUUUCCAAUUCUCCCAAUUGAGUUCUCUUUCUAUUUUC